AGAACGAACGCUGGCGGCGUGCCUAACACAUGCAAGUCGAACGAGAAAGGGGCUUCGGCUCCGAGUAAAGUGGCGCACGGGUGAGUAACACGUAGGUAACCUGCCUCUAAGAUUGGGAUAACUUGUCGAAAGACGAGCUAAUACCAAAUAAGACCACGGUCUCCUCGGGGACAGAGGUCAAAGGUAGCCUCUAUUUAUAAGCUAUCGCUGAGAGAUGGGCCUGCGUACCAUUAGCUUGUUGGUGAGGUAACGGCUCACCAAGGCCAAGAUGGUUAGCUGGUCUGAGAGGAUGAUCAGCCACACUGGAACUGAGACACGGUCCAGACUCCUACGGGAGGCAGCAGUGGGGAAUAUUGCGCAAUGGGCGAAAAGCCUGACGCAGCAACGCCGCGUGAGUGAUGAAGGCCUGGUCGUAAAGCUCUGUCGAGGGAACGAAUGCUCUUGAGGUGAACAGCCUCAGGAGGUGACGGUACCUCAAAGGAAGAC
rnacentral:rRNA from 1 species